ensembl:ncRNA Y39D8B.4 ncRNA
GCUCAGCACUACAUCUUUCUGGAAAUUUGAAAAUUUUUAUAGUGAGUUGUCCGCAUCAAUUCCCGGCCGACCUGUCUAGCAACUUUGAAGGCUUGCUCCUCGCGCGCCAUCUGAUGAAUAUUAUUCUCUAAAAUAUCUGGAAUAUCAUUUCUUCUCAAAUUUCUGUAGUUCUCAUAGGCAUGGGAAUCGUUGUACGGGGAGCCUGGACCGUAGAACUCGGAGAUUUGCUGGGAGCUCAUGAUUGCGUAGCCAGUUGAGUUCAUCUCGUGCAUCUGAAAAUUUCAUAUUCGCGCGCGUGUAUGCCGGCCAAUCAGAGGGUUGCAGUGAGCGUGGUCAACUACGCUGAUUGGUCGGCGUAGUCAUUUGCUUCGUGCCGUAAAUCUACACAAUUUCCUUUUUUUUCUCAUAGUGCCUUCCUGACCUGAGCUGCCGACAUCGACUUGUGCAACUUCUCCAUUGAGUCAAUUUUUGAGGUCUUAUAAUCUCCAUACAUCUCUGAUACAUUCUGACGUGUGAAGUACAUUGGCUGCCCAUUUUCGUUUG